GUUAUAUGGUCAAGUGACUAAGCGCAUACGGUGGAUGCCUUGGCAGUCAGAGGCGAUGAAGGACGUAUGGAUAGCCUGCGAAAAGCUUCGGGGAGGUGGCAACCAGCCUUUGAUCCGGAGAUGUCCGAAUGGGGAAACCCACUUGGCAUAAGCCAGGUAUCACAUACUGAAUACAUAGGUUAUGUGAGGCGAACGGGGGAACUGAAACAUCUAAGUACCCUCAGGAAAAGAAAUCAACCGAGAUUCCCGAAAGUAGCGGCGAGCGAACGGGGGAGAGCCCAGCCCUUGUAAGCUUUAAUUAUGUGUUAGUGGAACAGUCUGGAAAGUCUGGCCAUAGUAGGGUGAUAGCCCCGUACACGAAUGGCGCAUGAGUUAAGUGAAAACGAGUAGGACGGGACACGUGAAAUCCUGUGUUGAAAUAUGGGGACCAUCCUCCAAGGCUAAAUACUCCUGACUGACCGAUAGUGAACCAGUACCGUGAGGGAAAGGCGAAAAAAGAACCCUGGUGAGGGGAGUGAAAUAGAACCUGAAACCGUAUGCGUACAAGCAGUAGGAGCAGGCUUUCGUGGUGUGACUGCGUACCUUUGUAUAAUGGGUCAGCGACUUAUUCUCAGUGGCAAGGUUAACCGUCUAGGGGAGCCGUAGGAAACCGAGUCUUAAAUAGGGCGUUCAGUUGCUGGAUAGUAGACCCGAAACCGGGUGAUCUAGCCAUGGGCAGGUUGAAGGUUGAGUAACAUCAACUGGAGGACCGAACCGACUAAUGUUGAAAAAAUUAGCGGAUGACUUGUGGAUAGGGGUGAAAGGCUAAUCAAACUCGGAGAUAGCUGGUUCUCCCCGAAAGCUAUUUAGGUAGCGCCUCGGACGAAUACCACUGGGGGUAGAGCACUGUUUCGGCUAGGGGGGGUCCCGACUUACCAAAACCGAUGCAAACCCGAAUACCAGUGAGUACUAUCCGGGAGACACACGGCGGGUGCUAACGUCCGUCGUCAAGAGGGAAACAACCCAGACCGCCAGCUAAGGUCCCAAAUUACUAGUUAAGUGGGAAACGAUGUGGGAAGGCACAGACAGCUAGGAGGUUGGCUUAGAAGCAGCCAUCCUUUAAAGAAAGCGUAAUAGCUCACUAGUCGAGUCGGCCUGCGCGGAAGAUGUAACGGGGCUAAAACCAGAAACCGAAGCUGCGGAUAUUCAUUUUAUACGUGGGCGGGUAGGGGAGCGUUCUGUAAGCCGUUGAAGGUGUGUUGAGAAGCAUGCUGGAGGUAUCAGAAGUGCGAAUGCUGACAUGAGUAACGACAAGGGGGGUGAAAACCUCCCCGCCGGAAGACCAAGGGUUCCUGCGCAACGUUAAUCGGCGCAGGGUGAGUCGACCCCUAAGGCGAGGCCGAAAAGCGUAGUCGAUGGGAAACGGGUUAAUAUUCCCGUACUUCUUACAAAUGCGAUGGGGGGACGGAGAAGGCUAGGUGGGCCUGGCGACGGUUGUCCAGGUUCAAGUGCGUAGGCUUGAGAGUUAGGUAAAUCCGGACACUCUCUGCUGAGAGGCUGAGACGACGACGUCGAACCUACUACUACGAUGUGAAGUGAUUGAUGCCAUGCUUCCAGGAAAAGCCUCUAAGCUUCAGUUCAGUAAGGAAUCGUACCCCAAACCGACACAGGUGGUCGGGUAGAGAAUACCAAGGCGCUUGAGAGAACUCGGGUGAAGGAACUAGGCAAAAUGGUACCGUAACUUCGGGAGAAGGUACGCUGUUGAUGGUGAAGUCCCUCGCGGAUGGAGCUGAUUGGAGAGUCGCAGAUACCAGGUGGCUGCAACUGUUUAUUAAAAACACAGCACUCUGCAAACACGAAAGUGGACGUAUAGGGUGUGACGCCUGCCCGGUGCCGGAAGGUUAAUUGAUGGGGUUAGCGCAAGCGAAGCUCUUGAUCGAAGCCCCGGUAAACGGCGGCCGUAACUAUAACGGUCCUAAGGUAGCGAAAUUCCUUGUCGGGUAAGUUCCGACCUGCACGAAUGGCGUAACGAUGGCCACGCUGUCUCCACCCGAGACUCAGUGAAAUUGAAAUCGCUGUGAAGAUGCAGUGUACCCGCGGCUAGACGGAAAGACCCCGUGAACCUUUACUAUAGCUUUGCACUGGACUUUGAACCUGUUACUUGUGUAGGAUAGGUGGGAGGCUUUGAAGUCAGGACGCCAGUUCUGAUGGAGCCAUCCUUGAAAUACCACCCUGGUAUGUUUGAGGUUCUAACCCAGGCCCGUUAUCCGGGUCGGGGACAGUGUAUGGUGGGUAGUUUGACUGGGGCGGUCUCCUCCCAAAGAGUAACGGAGGAGCACGAAGGUGCGCUCAGCGCGGUCGGAAAUCGCGCGAUGAGUGUAAAGGCAUAAGGGCGCUUGACUGCGAGAGUGACGGAUCGAGCAGGUACGAAAGUAGGUCUUAGUGAUCCGGUGGUUCUGUAUGGAAGGGCCAUCGCUCAACGGAUAAAAGGUACUCCGGGGAUAACAGGCUGAUACCGCCCAAGAGUUCAUAUCGACGGCGGUGUUUGGCACCUCGAUGUCGGCUCAUCACAUCCUGGGGCUGAAGUCGGUCCCAAGGGUAUGGCUGUUCGCCAUUUAAAGUGGUACGCGAGCUGGGUUUAGAACGUCGUGAGACAGUUCGGUCCCUAUCUGCCGUGGGCGUUGGAGAUUUGAGGGGGCUGCUCCUAGUACGAGAGGACCGGAGUGGACGAACCUCUGGUGUUCGGGUUGUUACGCCAGUGGCAUUGCCCGGUAGCUAAGUUCGGAAUCGAUAACCGCUGAAAGCAUCUAAGCGGGAAGCGAGCCUUGAGAUGAGUUCUCCCUGGCACUUUAAGCGUCCUAAAGGGUUGUUCGAGACUAGGACGUUGAUAGGCAGGGUGUGUAAGCGCUGUGAGGCGUUGAGCUAACCUGUACUAAUUGCCCGUGAGGCUUAACCAUAUAGCCCAAA
rnacentral:rRNA from 1 species